rnacentral:lncRNA from 1 species
AUCAUGUUCCAGCGCAUUGAGUAUGUAUUCAAAGAAGUUAGGUUGUUCUCCAGAAUUGGCUCUCUCCUAAAGGUCAAAAC